GUCCCAGUUCGGACUGUAGUCUGCAACCCGACUACACGAAGCCGGAAUCGCUAGUAAUCGCGGAUCAGAAUGCCGCGGUGAAUACGUUCCCGGGUCUUGUACACACCGCCCGUCACACCAUGGGAGUCGGAAAUGCCCGAAGUCAGUGACCCAACCGGAAGGAAGGAGCUGCCGAAGGUGGAGCCGGUAACUGGGGUGAAGUCGUAACAAGGUAAC
rnacentral:rRNA from 1 species